rnacentral:lncRNA from 1 species
GGAAGACGCCUGCGGGGCGGGUGCGGGAGCGCCUCCUGGUGGACAACGCAGGGGCCAGCACAGAGGCUGACAGCCAUUGUUUCAACCUCCAUGAGCUGAACCUCCAGGAAGCAGCUUCCUGGGGAUUUAAAGAGACAAUACUUGUGCUCCCACCCCCAUGUCUUUUGGGAACCAGACAUUUAAGGAAAUCUUUGUCGGGUCACUGGUUGAUUACAGAAAUGAUGGAACAGAAACUUUAGUGACCACAAACAACAAUAUAUAUCUUGCAAAAAUAGUUUUAAAAAGUCAUAAAUAGAUGACCCAGUCCUCAUAAAGUACAAGAAAUCUCUGAGGUAUUGAAGAAUUAGAUAUCCAGUUAGUGCAACAUGGUAUUUAAAAUUUCUAGCUCUCAACAAACAAUUACAAAACAUACAAAAAAAGAGGAAAACAUGGUCCAUUCACAGAAAAAAAGAAGUUUACAGAAAUCUUUUCUAAGAAAGACCAGACAUUGGAAUUAUUAGUCAAUGGCAUUAAGUCAACUGCCUUAAAUAUGUUUAAUGAGAUAAGGAAAACCAUAAACCAAGAACUAAAAGGAAUCAGUAGAAUUAUAUAUGAACAAAGAAAGAAUAUCAAUUAAUAAAUAGAAAUAAAAAAGAACUAAACUGAAAUUCUGGAGGUGAAAACUGUAAUAACUGAAAUGAAAAAUUAACUAGAGGCAUUCAACAGCAGGUUUGAGCAAGUGGAAAAAAGUGUCUAUGAACUUGAAGACGGGGCAAUUGAAAUUAUCCAGUCUGGGGAGCACAAAGACAAAAGAAUAAGUAAAAGUGAACAGAGGCUAAGGGCCCUGUAGGACACCAUCAAGUGAAUCAAAUUUACAAUAUGAGAGUUUCAGAAAGAGUAGAGAGAGUUGGGAAAGAAAGAACAUCUGACGAAAUAAUGACUGGCAAAUGUCCCAAAUUCGAUGAAAGAAAUGAAUCUACAGAUCCGAGAAACUCAACAAACCUCCAAGGAUAAACUCAACAAACUCCUAGGAUAAACUCAAAGAGCUUCACCCCAAGACAUAUUAUAAUCAAAGUGUCAAAAGUCAGAGACAAAGAGAAUCUUGAAAACAGAAAAAGAGAAAUGAUUAGUCACACACAAGGACUCCUCAAUAA